UUUUCUCCUGCCUACCUUUUGAUGCUUUUAAAAUCUGAAAUAUAAGCCAGGCAUAGUGGCUCAUGCCUGUAAUCCCAGCACUCAUGAGGCUGAGGCAGGAGGAUCACUGCAAGUUCGAGACCAGCCUGGGCUACAAAGUGAGCUCAAGGCCAGCCUGCACUGCAUAGAGACCCUGUCUCAAAAAGACAAAAAUAAAUAAAUAAAUAAAAUAAAAUCUGGAAUAUAAUAACAAUAACCAACAGUACACACUGAGCACCUACCUAGCAGGCACUAGGCUACGCUGUGUUGGAGGGUCAUGCCGGGGGUGAUCCGGGCAGGAACAGAGGCCAGCCUUCUCCUGUGAGUGUGCACCAUUCACAGACUGUGGAGGAGGAGAACAAGAGGUCAGCAAGAAGCUAAGACCUCCUGUGAGUCGGCACCAUGCACUGGCUGACCAGGAGAGAGCCAGACACCAGCCCUUCCCGCAAGGAGACAAAAGCCGAGGUUACUUCCUCCCACUCCUCGACCCUUAAAAGCGACUGGCUGAUCUGGAGAAACACAGGCCACGAUGAUAGCUAAUGAGCCAGGAAGCUCAAAUGUCAAGCUCACUGCUCAAAUCCCGAUUGCCUACACAUGUGGUUUUCUUCCUGAACUGAAUUUCCGGCCUGAUCUAAUUUUAUACCGAUCAAAACCUCUACUUCUACUUUGUCACUGGUUUAUGUCCUUACAAAGCACUUUAAAUCAAGUCUUUUAUUAUGCAGAGAAACUGUGUUAUCAAUAUAAUAAUCAUAAAGCUUUCUGUUUGUUUGCCUGACAUUCGUGAUGCUCCAGACACUUUAAAUAUUUUAUCUCCAGUAAUUAAAACAAAGCACAGCAGAGACAUCACUGAGCUCAUUUUACAGAUGAUAAACUGAGGCUCGGAGAGGUCAACUGCAGAAAGCAGACGGCCUGCUGUGUUAGUUUUCAGUCACUACUGCCGUCAAUUACCACAAACCUGGUGACAGAACAGACUUGUUACAGCUCGGAGGGUCAGCAGUCCGCACGGACGGGCAGAGCCGGUCCUCCGGCAGGAUCUGGGGGAGACCCAUUUCUUUACUACCCAGCUUCUGCAGGCGGCCGUCCAUCCCCAGGUCACGGCAGCACACGACCCGACUAUUCUUGCUGCCACAUCUCCUGCUGCCACCGUGCUCCUCCUGCGCUCCUCCUUCACAGGGAGGCUUGCUGUUCCUCGCCCUCAAGAAUCCAAGCUGAGUUUGUUUAAUUUUAUUAUCUGUGAUGGUAUGAACAGCUAUUUUGAAGAAAACAAGACAUUAUAAUAGCCAGUGCUGGUGUAAUAUCACCUUACUCGGAAGUCCUACAAUGCUUUUGUUCUUCUGUUUCCAUUGGUUCUAUCAUAUUAUAUCUUAUUGGAUUUUAUGUGUGAUAGAAUAAACAAAUUUUCUAUGGAAAAUGAGACAAUAUAGUAGCCAUUGUUUGCUCUCUGUUAUUUGGUUCUGAAUGCCCUGUAAUACUUUCAUUUCUUGAAUGGUUUUGCACUAUUUUGUUUGUUUGAUACUACCCUAUAUGAACUUAUGCUCAACUAUUUCAAAGAAAGAGACAUUAUGGUAGCUACUAUUAUUUAUGGGUUGACUUGAGGUAAAAUGCUGUGUUGCUUACAUUGUUCUGAUCUGAUCUGCUUUGUUAUGUCCUCUUUUGUCUUAAUCUCUUUAAAAUAAAAAAACAAGCUGAACCUCC